rnacentral:lncRNA from 1 species
GGAGGGCGUACUUCUAGAGUAUAAUCUCUACACUUUUUUUAGUGAUUUCACCAAAAUAAUCAUUGAUGAGACCUUGUCCCAUCAAAAGUUUGCUAUUUGUGAAAAAAUCACUGAAUAUGUUGAAUAAGAAGACUAAACAAAAUACUUGGACAAGUUUCCACUUUACUAGUUUGGCCCUUUGUGGCUUUAUAUCGGUGAAAACAUGUAAAAUCGGUUAAGCAUUUGUGCAUUGGGAUGGUUUUGCAAUAUAAUUAAAUAGGUGCAGACAUUUGCAAGAAAACGAAUUACGGAAGUCGAUCUCAAACACAUUAUGAUAUACGAUCUAAUUUUGUACAAAAUUUCC